UCUCCUUGCGAGUCUCUGCUGC
rnacentral:miRNA from 1 species